rnacentral:rRNA from 1 species
GAUGAACGCUAGCGGCAGGCUUAACACAUGCAAGUCGAGGGGUAUAGGGAGCUUGCUUCCUAGAGACCGGCGCACGGGUGCGUAACGCGUAUGCAAUCUACCUUUUGCAGAGGGAUAGCCCAGAGAAAUUUGGAUUAAUACCUCAUAGUAUAGCAGUUUCGCAUGAAACCACUAUUAAAGUCACAACGGCAAAAGAUGAGCAUGCGUCCCAUUAGCUUGUUGGUAAGGUAACGGCUUACCAAGGCAACGAUGGGUAGGGGUCCUGAGAGGGAGAUCCCCCACACUGGUACUGAGACACGGACCAGACUCCUACGGGAGGCAGCAGUGAGGAAUAUUGGACAAUGGGCGCAAGCCUGAUCCAGCCAUGCCGCGUGCAGGAUGACGGUCCUAUGGAUUGUAAACUGCUUUUGUACAGGAAGAAACACUGGUUCGUGAACCGGCUUGACGGUACUGUAAGAAUAAGGAAUCGGCUAAACUCCGUGCCAGCAG